CUUAAUUCGACAAGAAGGCAAGCAGUCAUCCGGCAAAGGAGGACUCCCCCGCUGUUAUCCGGUGGUCCUAUGAAUCCUAUGGUCAAGCUUCCCAGUUGUUGAUGAUCUACCCUCUUAAGUUAUAAGUUAUUACCUUGGGACUUUUCUCUCACUACUCUUGUUUUGGACAUUUUACCUUGGUCGCAUCUUCAGAAAGAGGGAAAUGAAAGGGAAGUGCUGCCUAUUAUACUGGGACCUGAACGGGG